rnacentral:rRNA from 1 species
GAUGAACGCUAGCGGCAGGCUUAAUACAUGCAAGUCGAGGGGCAGCAUGAUUGUAGCAAUACAAUUGAUGGCGACCGGCAAACGGGUGCGGAACACGUACACAACCUCCCAAUAAGUGGGGAAUAGCCCAGAGAAAUUUGGAUUAAUACCCCGUAACAUAACGAUGUGGCAUCACAUUGUUAUUAUAGAUUUUUCGCUUAUUGAUGGGUGUGCGGCUGAUUAGAUAGUUGGCGGGGUAACGGCCCACCAAGUCUACGAUCAGUAGCUGAUGUGAGAGCAUGGUAGGCCACACGGGCACUGAGACACGGGCCCGACUCCUACGGGAGGCAGAAGUAAGGAAUAUUGGACAAUGGACGCAAGUCUGAUCCAGCCAUGCCGCGGGAAGGAUUAAGGUCCUCUGGAUUGUAAACUUCUUUUAUAAGGGACGAAAAAAGGCUUUUCUAAGUCGUCUGACGGUACCUUAUGAAUAAGCACCGGCUAACUCCGUGCCAGCCGCCGCCGUAAUAC